UACGUAGGGGGCUAGCGUUGUCCGGAAUCAUUGGGCGUAAAGAGCGUGUAGGCGGCCCGAUAAGUCCGCUGUGAAAGUCCAGGGCUCAACCCUGGAAUGCCGGUGGAUACUGUCGGGCUCGAAUCCGGAAGAGGUGAGUGGAAUUCCUGGUGUAGCGGUGAAAUGCGCAGAUAUCAGGAGGAACACCAGUGGCGAAGGCGGGACUCUGGGCCGAUACUGACGCUGAGGAGCGAAAGCGUGGGGAGCAAACAGG
rnacentral:rRNA from 1 species